rnacentral:lncRNA from 1 species
CGAGAGGAGAAGCCUAAGAAAAGCUAUCAAUUUCUAAUGGAAACUGAAUGAAAAAGGAAACAUCCAGGCCCUCACCAGACAAGGUCAUGCCUGAUUCACCCUAAGGCUCCUGCUGCCAGUCAUCUGGAGUAUUCUUUUUCGCUUUUCUAAUGUUUGUGACCCGCUGUU